rnacentral:lncRNA from 1 species
AUCAUAAUUGCCAACUCGGUGGUACCAACUUGCUGAAAAGGUAGCAACUUUUUAACUCGGUGGAACCGAUAUAUGAAUCUCGGUGGUACCGAUACGAUGACCUAGACUGGAUUUCCAAACUCGGUGAGACCGACUUCAAACUCGGAAUUUUUGAAACUGAAGUUAGCUUACCUAAAAGUUGGUCAACCAAACUCGGUGGCACCGACAGGAAUGUUGGUUGUACCGAGAUGGUGGGUUUGGCAUAGGAUUGUCUAAGUGUAAAAUCGGUAUGACCGAGUGAGAAAUGUUUGUGGCACCAAUUUUCCAUAUUUGGCUUGGGACAAAUAUACUCUAUGGAAGAGUGGUGAGUAUUUU